rnacentral:rRNA from 1 species
AGGAAAAGAAAUCAACCGAGAUUUUGUCAGUAGCGGCGAGCGAAAGCGAAAGAGCCAGCAAGUGAUAGCAGCAAAGACAGAAGAAUUGGCUGGGAAGCCAAGCGACACAGGGUGAUAGCCCCGUAUUUUAAGUUUAUGUUGUGGUACUAAACUUGCAACAAGUAGGGCGGGACACGAGAAAUCCUGUUUGAAGAUGGGGGGACCAUCCUCCAAGGCUAAAUACUCCUGAUUGACCGAUAGUGAACCAGUACUGUGAAGGAAAGGCGAAAAGAACCCCA